CUUUGUCUAUCCCAAAAGGAAGCUGGGAACUUCUGGAUACCCAGAAAACCUUUAGUCUUAUACCUCAACCACCUUUUCAGAUCUCUCUGGGUUUUAAACAGAGUGGAAGAAACUGAGAAUUUUCUGAGAUACAAAUAUUGUUAUUGAUACAAUUUCAGGCAGCAAGCUCUGCUUAUUGUAAAUCUUUCUUGACUGAAAAUAUGUAAGACCAUAUAAGUAGGAGGAAGAAAGUAAAGAAGCAGGGGAGGGGUUUUGAAUUAGCAUCAAUGUCCAUUGCCUGUUGA
rnacentral:lncRNA from 1 species